CUGAGAAAAGGCCAAGUAGUUACUUAGUAGUGAUGAGGAGGAGGAGGAGGAGGAGGAGGGGAGGUGUAGUAAUAAUGCUUGGGUGGUGGUGGCGGUGGAGACUUGUAUUUGUAUACCGGUGUUGGUGGGGGUGGGGACUUGUACUUGUAAACUGGAGGAGGUGGCGGGGGAGACUUGUAUUUGUAAACUGGUGGUGGUGGAGACUUGUAUUUGUAAACUGGUGUUGGUGGUGGUGGGGACUUGUACUUGUAAACUGGUGGUGGUGGGGACUUGUAUUUAUAAACUGGUGUUGGUGGUGGUGGAGACUUGUACUUGUAGACUGGUGGUGGUGGUGAUUUAUAGUGGUAAUGAGGUGGAUGAGAGUGCACUGAGGGAGGUGGUGGUGGUGACUUGUAAUGGUAAGGAGGGGGAGGGGAGUGCACCGGAGGUGGUGGCGGUGGUGAUUUGUAGUGGUAAUGUGGUGGUAGGGAGUGCACCGGAGGUGGUGGUGGUGGUGACUUGUAGUGAUAUGGUGGUGGUGGUGGGGAGUGCACUGGGGUAGGAGGUGGUGGAGACUUGUAGUGAUAAGGAUGGGGAGGAAAGUGCACAGGAGGUGGCGGUGGUGGUGAUUUGUAAUGAUAAGUUGGUGGUGGGAAGUGCACCGGAGGUGGUGGUGGUGGCGGUGAUUUGUAAUGGUAAAGAGGAGAGGAGAAAUGGUCGGUAGCUGCGGUUUCUAAUGGCAAGUUUAGGGACACUAAUACCACUACAAGAGUGACCAUAAGAGUGUCCAUUUUGGACCCCUUCGCUAUUCUUACCAUCUUUUUUACUACAAAU
rnacentral:lncRNA from 1 species